GGCGGGAGGAAGGUGAGGGGGGGGGAGAACGGUUCCGGCCCAAGCAUCCGCGGCCAACCGUCCCAGGUACCGGAAGCCUCCCCUAGUCCCGCCCUCGGAACCAUAGCAACAGCGGUGAAAAAGGACGUCACUCCACCCUGCGCGGGACUCGGCCUGGUGGGCGGGGCUGCCUGGGAUUGGCGGGUUCUGGGCCUGCGGGUGGGAGCGGAGUGCCGUCCCUGCCGGCGUCCCUCCCGGUGUCGGCAAGCUGGUGACCUUACGGGAGGCCUCUGUGAGGUGACUGGCUGAAUUCUGGAGGUGAAUGUGCCUUUGGUCGACAUGAAACACAAGUCGAAGAGAGUGUUGUCUCCCAGCCGCAGGAGAUCAGAAGGCACACGGAGGCAGUGGCAGAUGGAGGGCUUCAAAUGAGCCACCUCAGAGGCAGGGAAGAGAAGAGCCCACCACCACCAAGGAAGAACAGCCAGGAACCAGCACAUCCUUUCCAUCUGGGAUCCCUGUGCUGAG